rnacentral:rRNA from 1 species
AGAGUUUGACCGUGGCUCAGGAUGGACGCUAGCGGCGCGCUUAAUGCAUGCAAGUCGAGCGAUGAGGCUCCUUCGGGAGUACAUCAGCGGCAGACGGGUGAGUAACACGUAGGUGACCUACCCUCAAGACGGGGAUAACGAGUGGAAACAUUUGCUAAUACCCGAUGACCUUACUAGGUCGAAGUAGUAAGGAAAGCUCCGGUGCUUGAGGAGGGGCCUGCGGCCCAUCAGCUAGUUGGUGAGGUAACGGCUCACCAAGGCAAAGACGGGUAGGGGGUGUGAGAGCAUGACCCCCCACAAUGGGACUGCGACACGGCCCAUACUCCUACGGGAGGCAGCAGCAGGGAAUCUUGCACAAUGGACGGAAGUCUGAUGCAGCGACGCCGCGUGAGUGAAGACGGCCUUCGGGUUGUAAAACUCUUUUGAGGGGGAAGAGCGAGGACGGUACCCUUCGAAUAAGCGUCGGCUAACUACGUGCCAGCAGCCGCGGUAAGACGUAGGACGCAAGCGUUAUCCGGAUUUUCUGGGCGUAAAGCGUCUGUAGGCGGGUGUGUAAGUUGGAUGUGAAAGCUCCAUGCUCAACGUGGAGUGGCCAUACAAUACUGCACGCCUAGAGGGGGUCAGAGGAGUGUGGAAUUUCCGGUGUAGCGGUAAAAUGCGCAGAUAUCGGAAGGAACACCAACGGCGAAGGCGGCACUCUGGGGCCCACCUGACGCUGAGAGACGAAAGCUAGGGGAGCGAACAGGAUUAGAGACCCUGGUAGUCCUAGCCCUAAACGCUGAAUGCUAGGUGUGGGGGCGUGGAGCCUCUGUGCCGGAGCUAACGCGAUAAGCAUUCCGCCUGGGGAGUACGGCAGCAAGGUUAAAACUCAAACGAAUUGACGGGACCCCGCACAAGCAGCGGAGCGUGUGGUUUAAUUCGAUUCUACACGAAGAACCUUACCUGGGUUUGACAUAUAGGUGGUAGGAAGCCGAAAGGCGACUGACCCUUCGGGGAGCUUAUACAGGUGCUGCAUGGCUGUCGUCAGCUCGUGCCGUGAGGUGUCGGGUUAAGUCCCGUAACGAGCGCAACCCUUGCCCUUAGUUAUACGUGUCUAAGGGGACUGCCGGCGGGAAGCCGGAGGAAGGUGGGGAUGACGUCAAGUCAGCAUGGCCCUUAUACCCAGGGCUACACACACGCUACAAUGGGCGGUACAGAGGGCAGCGAAGUCGCGAGGCGGAGCGAAUCCUAGAAAGCCGUUCGUAGUUCGAAUAGCAGGCUGCAACUCGCCUGCUUGAAGCUGGAGUUGCUAGUAACCGCGCGUCAGCUAUAGUGCGGUGAAUACGUUCCCGGGGUUUGUACACACCGCCCGUCACGUCAUGGGAGUUGGUAACGCCUGAAGCCGGUAGCCUAACGUUAACGCGGGAGCGCUGUCGAGGGCGGGACUGGCAACUGGGACGAAGUCGUAACAAGGUA